AAAGAAAAGAAAAUGAAAAUUUCUUUUUUCCCUUUUCUUCUUCCGCCCAGCGCCGCGACCCUCCCUUCCGUUCUCCAUCUCCGUUCGCGAAGCAACCUUGCAGCAGUCGUCCCGCGUGACUCUCCGUUCGUCUGUUUCCGUCUCCAUUCACCGAAGCCGAACCCAACCGCCACCCUCUCUUUUCUCCUUCGGAUCGAAACCGCCGCGCCCAUCCACCUGUAACUGUCGUGCCUCCCCGCUCACAACCGUCGUCCAGAUCUGCAUCGCCGAGCCGUCCAGGUCCUCGCUGCCGCUCGUGCUUCACCCUUGCAGUUCGCAGUAACCCAGAUCCGUCGCUGCAACCGUCGGCCGGUUCGUGAAGCCCUGCCGCGCAACCUCUGUUUCCAGCCGCCGCCCAUUUCGUUCUCCUCUGUUUUCUGCACUGCCGCGCGACUCUCCGACCGCGUCUGUCUUCACCUCCGUGAAGCCGUCGAUGCAUACAUCUUGUGAAGCCCGGUCGCCGCGUCAGAUCGUCGAUCGAUUUUGAGGCAGCCGCCACGUCUCCUUUGGCCGACCGCUGACCGACCCACACUUAGGAUUUUUGCUGCGAGUUCGACAGUCGUGCGUUGAGGUGUUGGGAGUAACGUUGGGCUCCCUUAAAUUCACAACCAAUAUAUGAAUUGUUGAGGGUUCAGUUCGCCAAUACUUCGGAUUGUUUCGAGGACGUUAGUUGAUUAAGGAGCUUCCCUAACUUUGAGGUAAGGGAUUUUCUACUGGACUCACUUAUGAUUGUGAAUUGUAUGUCUGUAUGAUUGUCUCUGACUGAGUAAAGAUGUUGAGAUGAUAUAUAUAUAUACACGUAUGGAUGUAGAUUCGGUGUUGAAUGUAUACUGUGGAUUGACUGAAAA